GUGGACUCGCUUUCUGACCGGCGCUGCCCCCCCCUUCUCCUCCACCAACCUUCUCCCCCCCCCCACACACCCCGGGGUGUGCACCCCCCCCUUUGCCAUCCUGACCCCCAACCCGGGGGCUGGAUGUGGGGUGGGUGUGAGGAGGAUGAUGAUGAGGAGGAGGAGGAUGAUGGGGAUGGGGAAUGGGGGGGGGGGCGCGCAGGCACUUCUGCAGGCGCAGCCCUUUUCGCAUCAAGAGAUUGGCUAUAAGGAGAAGGCUGACGGCUGCAGCAUGAAGCGCAUUAUUACCUUGUGAUUCCAUGACCCUCCUCUAUGCAUCCCUAACUCUCGAAAGCUGAUUCAGCUUUCAGCUAGUGCUCUGGUGAGUCCUCUGCUGCAACAGAAGCUCCUAACUGAUUGCAAACAGCCCUACUCUGAACAAGCAGCUUUCUAAAUGAACCCACAGACAAGCUCUUGACAAGAGGGGAAAGGAAAGGUGGAUGGCUCAGGAGGUUGGAGUUCGCAGUCUUUUAUGUUUGACCUUUGGGCCAGUGUUCAGAUUUGCUUGUUGGGAAAAGCGCAUUCAGGAUAUAUUUUCUUCAGGGAUUUAUGCUACCCUUUUGCUUGUAAUUAUUCUCACUCGAUGUCUUCCAUAAAUUAAAGAUGCUUCUAUUAGUGAGCUCCAGUCCUCUCAAUUAUCUUGCUUAUUUGUGGCUGUGAGCUAACACCACGCCACGAUUGCCAUCCAUGCAAAGCUCCUGGUCGGUGGCUACAGGCAGAGAAAUACAUGGGUAAUACAAAUGUCUGAGAAAUCCCAGGAAAAAAUGAAAACUCCAGUAAAGGUAAAUGUCAGACUAUUUAAGGACAAUGUUAACUAUUGAUUUUUUGGAGGAGACUACCUCUUCAAAGAAUGGCAAGCAUGCCUGCAGAUACAGACCAGGCAACCUAGAUGGAUAGCAGAGAGAGGGAGGCGAGCGAUCUAGGAAGACAGAGAUUUUCUGGGAGAGCAAAAUGAACCCUUUAUGACGCCUUUGGGAUUAAGUUCUUUUGCAGUGUCCACCCUUCAACCCAUUUAAACACCAUGCCUUUUCCAAGAAAUGAAGGGCAAAGAAGCAGUGAUAAGCAAUACAGAGAUAAGCAGCAAAGUACUCGUUUCACCGGUGUUUCCCUGUGAAAAAUGAACCCUCAAGCACACCCCGUGAUUUGUUGUUGAAGUGGUAAAGCUUACCCAAGUUCCUGAUUCUGCUUCCAGCAGAGAUGUUCAUUGCUCAUUCUCACACCAUGGAGCAACUUGGAUGCAUUAUGCGGUGCUUUCUCUUCCCACCAGCACCUGCCUGCACGCGUGGUGAGACCACCAUCCAAUAUAUCUUGUUAAAAAAUGCAUAUAUAUGUACAUAUGCAUUAUAUAUGCGUGUCUAUAUGUGUAUAUAUAUACUUACCUUAUGGCCCAUGCUGUGAUAUCCCUGCUAACGCACCUGGAAGCAGAUAUUCCUGGCCUCAGAUGUGUGCAUCUGCAGGGAAUUGUGCCUUUCAAGCUGUAGCGCAGAGAUGAUGCUGUACAUGGUGCUUGAGGAAAACGGCAUGAUAAGAAUUUAGUUAGGGGAUUUAAAGGUCUUCCAGGCCUGCAUUUUCAAAAAGGGAAACUUCUUACCUCGAUGGGUGUUUUGGAGCUGGAGGAAUGAAGGUUCUAAUCCAGUGAAGUGUAGUGUCAGAGAGGGUAAAUUAAUUUUGCAGCUGGAUACAACGCCUUUUUUAAAGGCUAAUUUGGGUCUUAGAAGUUAUUACACGUAUCUACUCAGCAAAGGGAAUGGGUGACACUGACGGGGUUACUACUGACUUUGGCAGGUUUUAAAGUGGGUAUGUGAGGGGAACACACCCUCUCAGUGCCCUGUGUUUCCCCCCUUACAAGUCUCUUGGGGGCUUCAGUUUGAUGAUCCCUGUAGGGCUUAUAACCACAGCUCGCCUUCUUUGGCAGCCAGCUCCAGCUGCAGAAUACCCCAGUUUGUGGUAGAUCCUAAACACAGCACAAUACGGUAUUGCUGCCUGGGGUAACUUUUGGUUUCCAUGUAUUAUUUCAAUAGGCAGGUCUUCAGACAGUGUUAAAUGACAGAUGAUGCAAUUUUUGAAUGUGGUGUUCAUCUGAAUUUUAUUUUCUGAUGUUUUGACUCAUUGACUUGAUGUCUCUCUAUUAUGCACACACCUCUGGAGAUGUUGCUGGCAACGGUUAUGCAUAGCAUUGAGUUAGUGAAUAAAACCACUCCAGGAACUGCUUUACAGAUCACAGUAUCGUUUUCUCUGUAAUUGUCCCACAAUUGGUGGAAGUUAUAUGGAGAGAGUGGUGUGCUCUGACAGGCUGCGUAUUUUUGCAGGGUGCAUCAAAUCUCACUUUGGCUUCUGAGACUUAUUUCUGAUGGUUCUUGGGGAUUUAACUUUAAGACCAACGUAUUUUAGUAUCCCUAUAUGCUCCACUGUUCAUGUCAUCCAGCAGCAACUGAGGAUGAGCUGUCUCCUUAAUAUGGAUGAGGUACCAAUUUAUCUAAGUUAUCACCUCCCAAUCUCUCGUUCAUCUCCGCUGUUAACUGCUGUGUUUCUGACAUCCAUACCUAAACUAUCAGCAACUUCUCCUUCAGUUGAAACCAUAAGUAAUUUUUGGCUGGAACUUCUUGUUAUGUAUAUAAAGGCUUCUUCUCCCAGCUGGAAUUCAACCAUCAGAUGACUGAAUCAGGCUCUGGACACUGCAUUUUAAACCCACAACAUUGCAUAGAUCCACACAGCAUACUAUAUCAAAAGUCUUUCUACCAUAUGAAAAUAUAUGACCAAAUUAACAUGUCCCAGGCUUACUUUGAACAAUGCUGCAGCCCCAGUUGUGUACAGCUCAGGCAUUUGACUGCAAAGUCAGCAAUAACUUCCCCCUUCCUGACACAUUCCCAAACCGGCGAAACUUAGCCGUACUCCUGGUAUUCUCCCUAUAGAAGGUCCCAGUGGUAUUAUGUAUCAAAUAAAGGUCUCAUUACUUUGUUUCUGGUUCCUUCAUGCCAUUGCUCUCAUUAAUCAUUCUGUUCUUCAAGCCGGUGCUACAGCCCAUUAGAACCAUCUCAUUCCCCAUCCCUAAAUUAGAGCUUCCAUCCCCUGCAGUUCCUUGCCCCUCUCUGCUGCACAUGUCACAGGGAGCACUGACCCACUGGGACCAC